GGGUCUCUAGUUUCUCCACCAGGGGGCAUCCUGGGACCUUCCGGAGGGCGUGAACCUGGAGCGGCACACCUGCUGCCACUUACCAUUGAUUGGAGGGGUUUAUCAGGACGGAGCCGCCGACACUCCAGUGCCAGAGUGUUAGCCUGUGAUGAUUGUUUCCGUGAAGCCCUGAGUAUCUCCGAACUUCUACGAACCGGAUCCCUUCCGGCACCUGUCAGAGAUCUCCCUCCAUCCACCUGUCCGCCCUCUAGAGAAACUCACGCCCUCGUUCCAGCUUGCAGCUCCGGAUCCUAGCGGUUCACCUCUCCGUGCCCUGACGAGCUCACCGGCAAAAAUCCAGAACCACACAGACGAGCACCAGUUCCGGACCACCUUUGUACAUACCUGUUUGCACAGUAUUUAAUAAAUCACCUUUACCG